UGGGGGCUAUCUUUUAGAUGGUGUUAAAACACUGUUCAGAAUUUUCCCAUAAGAGUUUAUCAAGCCUGAGUAAAGUGUGAAAAUGACUGGUGUUGCAAAAAAAAUGUGAUUCUAUUAGGAAAAAUAUAAGAGAAGAGAAUAAUAUAAAAAAAAUAUGAAAAUGACGAAAGAGUUAAAGAAGAGAGAGUUUGCACUUGUGGAAUUUAAUGAUUUAUAUGGCGAAUCUGAGAUACUAAUAGGAGUAAUUCCUUCUAAAUGGCUCUUUGAUAACAGUACUAUGUGCAAAUAUCCACCUAAAAAAGAUAAACUUAAAACUACCCGUUUGAUUCUGUCAAGAAUCGACCCAGGACAAGAUUGGGAUAUUUAUAAUCUUCGAUUGCAUCAUUAUUAUAAUACUUACAAUGCUGCUCUCAAAGCGGCUAAAACUGUUCUAGAGGGAGAAGUUGCUCGGACAGAUGUGGAAACAGAUUAUGACCAACCAAGAAAGAAAAAAAGAACAAAAAAUAUAUAUCCUCUUCAGAAGAUGAAGAAUUAGACAAUCCUGCAUUACAUAUCCCUCGUGGUACAAGCAGUGAAAGAGUACCUGCUCCAAAUUCUCUUCCAAAUAAAUUCAAAGAACUUAUUAAAAAUAAAUCAGUGAAAAUAUCUACUAAACAGUCAAUAGAAAAAGACACAUCUAUAGGAAAAUCAUUAUCUUGUAAUGAAUCAAGUGUUAAGUCAUCAGGCCAUUUAAAGUUAACUUACCAUAACAUUACAUUAGAGGAAAAUCCGAUAAAGCAGCAUUCUUUACUAAAUGAGAGUCCUGUCGACAAAACACGAGCCUAAUGAGGACACAGAUGGCUAUGGUUUUGAUAUGGAGAUCUGAUCGAAAUUGGCGUCAAUCUGCGCGCAUUCUGCUAGCAUUUUGCUUACUGGGUUGUAAUACAGAAGUAUCGGACAAAGUGAUCGUAGAACCACUGCAGUCAAACAAGACAAAACCUCUUAGAAAAUUGCAUAGCAUCUCUCAACAUUUAGAUAAAGAGAACUAUCUUAAUUUUCCUAAUACUUCUCCAAAGUACUUGUCUCCUCAAUUGAGUACAGAUGAUGAUGAACAACCUACUACAUCAAGAUCAAAUAGUUCUACAAUGUCCAUGAGCACACUGCCUGUACAUAUGGAGCAGAAUCUCUUUAGGAGGAAACUAAAUGCUUCCCCAAAUAACAAAGCAAAGUCAUCUCUCUUUGAUGAAUAUGAUAGGAACAAUGAACAUAAAAAAAAUUUAUCUGAUACAAUGAACUGCGAAACUCUACAAGAUGAAAAUGAAGAUGAUGUUUUACAAAAAAAAAAAAAAGACUUUAAUGUCAGUAGAUAAUGAGAAAAAUCAAGCAUCUCCAAAUUCACCACAUCCCAAGGUUUAUCAAAUACAGAAUGCGAUUUACUGACAACAACAUUAAACCAUUUUAAGAAGCUUCAUGGACCGGUCGUAUCUAAUCUUGAUAGAGAUUUGCUUCGAGAUAUAUCAAGUAAACUGGAUAUAUUGCUGAUGAUCGAACGUUGCAUCUUAAAUGAAAUAUUUCCUGGUGAAGCUAUUGUAGAAGAACCCGAAAAUUGUCCUCCUCUUCCACUACGAGAUGAGAAGUCAUUUGAAGAAUUUCAGAGUUCAACGAACUUUUGAAGAAUAAAAUUGCGUACUCUCAGUUUGUCAGCUAUCUACAUGCACAUAUUGUUGAUGGUCCUGAUGAAUGGAGUGCUGCUACUUCUCUUAUGUCCAUCAUAUUGCACAAUGAUCUUGCAAGACUAAUUAGCUGGAAAGGAACUGGAGGAGUGAAAAUCUCUUUCUAUGCAACACAGAUUAAGGAGGCUUUGUUUUGUGCCAUAAUGAGCCGUUUUCAAAAUCAAUCGUUGAAGCAUACUGAAGAUUCCAUAAAGCGCUGGUUGAAUACUUCUGGCCAACGUAAAUAAAGAAAUCAACAUAAUUUUUCGUAUAUUUUCUUUGAAAUUAAGUGUUAUUAUCUACAAUAUCAGGUAUAGUAAAAAGAAAUCCAUUAUUUUU